AUUGAACGCUGGCGGCAUGCCUUACACAUGCAAGUCGAACGGCAGCACGGGGGCAACCCUGGUGGCGGGUGGCGAACGGGUGAGUAAUGCAUCGGAACGUGCCCCGUAGCGGGGGAUAACCAGUCGAAAGACUGGCUAAUACCGCAUACGCUCCACGGAGGAAAGCAGGGGAUCGCAAGACCUUGCACUAUGGGAGCGGCCGAUGCCCGAUUAGCUAGUUGGUGAGGAAAGGCUCACCAAGGCGACGAUCGGUAGCUGGUUUGAGAGAACGACCAGCCACACUGGGACUGAGACACGGCCCAGACUCCUACGGGAGGCAGCAGUGGGGAAUUUUGGACAAUGGGCGCAAGCCUGAUCCAGCCAUGCCGCGUGC
rnacentral:rRNA from 1 species